GGGUUGUGAGGUUAAGCGACUAAGCGUACACGGUGGAUGCCCUGGCAGUCAGAGGCGAUGAAGGACGUGCUAAUCUGCGAUAAGCGCCGGUAAGGUGAUAUGAACCGUUAUAACCGGCGAUUUCCGAAUGGGGAAACCCAGUGUGACUCGUCACACUAUCAUUAACUGAAUCCAUAGGUUAAUGAGGCGAACCGGGGGAACUGAAACAUCUAAGUACCCCGAGGAAAAGAAAUCAACCGAGAUUCCCCCAGUAGCGGCGAGCGAACGGGGAGGAGCCCAGAGCCUGAAUCAGCAUGUGUGUUAGUGGAAGCGUCUGGAAAGGCGCGCGAUACAGGGUGACAGCCCCGUACACAAAAGCGCAUGUGCUGUGAGCUCGAUGAGUAGGGCGGGACACGUGGUAUCCUGUCUGAAUAUGGGGGGACCAUCCUCCAAGGCUAAAUACUCCUGACUGACCGAUAGUGAACCAGUACCGUGAGGGAAAGGCGAAAAGAACCCCGGCGAGGGGAGUGAAAAAGAACCUGAAACCGUGUACGUACAAGCAGUGGGAGCCCCACCACUAAGCCAGUGGUGAACUCCACAUACGCAUCCUUUGCUGAGGAUACGGUUAACGGAGCGAAAGCGACGUUCAACCGCAAAAGAAGCAGAGGGGGCUUAGUGGUGGGGUGACUGCGUACCUUUUGUAUAAUGGGUCAGCGACUUAUAUUCUGUAGCAAGGUUAACCGAAUAGGGGAGCCGUAGGGAAACCGAGUCUU
rnacentral:rRNA from 1 species